CCUACGGGGGGCUGCAGUGGGGAAUAUUGCACAAUGGGGGAAAGCCUGAUGCAGCGACGCCGCGUGAGCGAUGACGUAUUUCUGUAUGUAAAGCUCUAUCAGCAGGGGAAUAAAUGGCGGUACCUGACUAAGAAGCCCCGGCUAACUACGUGCCGGCAGCCGCGCUAAUACGUAGGGGGCCAGCGUUAUCCGGAUUUACUGGGUGUUAAGGGAGCGUAGACGGAGAUGCAAGCCAGAUGUGAAAGCCCGGGGCUCAACCGCGGGACUGCAUUUGGAACUGUAUAGCUGGAGUGUCGGAGAGGCAGGCGGAAUUCCUAGUGUAGCGGUGAAAUGCGUAGAUAUUAGGAGGAACACCAGUGGCGAAGGCGGCCUGCUGGACGAUGACUGACGUUGAGGCUCGAAAGCGUGGGGAGCAAACAGGAUUAGAUACCCUUGUAGUC
rnacentral:rRNA from 1 species